rnacentral:rRNA from 1 species
AGUCGAACGGAAAGGCCCUGCUUGCAGGGUACUCGAGUGGCGAACGGGUGAGUAACACGUGGGUGAUCUGCCCUGCACUUCGGGAUAAGCUUGGGAAACUGGGUCUAAUACCGGAUAGGAACCAUCUUUAGUGUGGUGGUUGGAAAGUUUUUUCGGUGUAGGAUGAGCUCGCGGCCUAUCAGCUUGUUGGUGGGGUAAUGGCCUACCAAGGCGGCGACGGGUAGCCGGCCUGAGAGGGUGUACGGCCACAUUGGGACUGAGAUACGGCCCAGACUCCUACGGGAGGCAGCAGUGGGGAAUAUUGCACAAUGGGCGCAAGCCUGAUGCAGCGACGCCGCGUGGGGGAUGAAGGCCUUCGGGUUGUAAACUCCUUUCGCUAGGGACGAAGCUUUUUGGUGACGGUACCUAGAUAAGAAGCACCGGCUAACUACGUGCCAGCAGCCGCGGUAAUACGUAGGGUGCGAGCGUUGUCCGGAAUUACUGGGCGUAAAGGGCUCGUAGGUGGUUUGUCGCGUCGUCUGUGAAAUUCUGGGGCUUAACUCCGGGCGUGCAGGCGAUACGGGCAUAACUUGAGUGCUGUAGGGGUAACUGGAAUUCCUGGUGUAGCGGUGAAAUGCGCAGAUAUCAGGAGGAACACCGAUGGCGAAGGC